UACGAAAGGGGCAAGCGUUGUUCGGAUUUACUGGGCGUAAAGGGCACGCAGGCGGUCUUGCCAGUCAGGGGUGAAAGCCCGGGGCUCAACCCCGGAACUGCCUCUGAUACUGCAGGACUAGAGACUAGGAGAGGGUGGUGGAAUUCCCAGUGUAGAGGUGAAAUUCGUAGAUAUUGGGAGGAACACCAGAGGCGAAGGCGGCCACCUGGACAAAGACUGACGCUCAGGCACGAAAGCGUGGGGAGCAAACAGG
rnacentral:rRNA from 1 species